GGACCUGUUAGAUGCGGCCUAUAAGAGAAGAGUUCCUGUCACAUCGUCAUCGACACAUCUGCUGUCUCCUGCUUCCUGGACAUGUGUUGUAGAGCCAACAUGCACCAGGGACACCUCAAGGUAACACACACACACACACCACACACACACACACACACACACACACACACACACACACACACACACACAGGGUUUCAGAUACUUGUAAAAUAAUUGCAAUACUUUAUCUGUACGUGUUUGAGCUUGCCUGGCUUAAAGGUAGACUUUGUGAAAUGAUGUUGAGCAGCACCGGAGAUAUUAAGAUGAGCGAGAUGCACACUGCGCUCUCGCACGGUCACACCAUACUUAAUCACGUCCACGGUUUCGCUUUCACGCUGUUCACAGUGUGGUAGUCAGGCAAGAAAAGAGCCUAGAGAGUGAGCCUUACUUCAACGCUCUUAGUUGUUGUGGAAGUUGACCCACUAUGCCAUUUAACGGUUCUGUAUUUACAUCAUCUCUCUGAGUCAACCUUUAUAAACACAAACUGCCAACCCGUGCUGGGUCUGUCUGGUUGUAGUCUGAACAACGUGUCUUGUCUCUGUCUGUCUGUCUGGUUGUAGUCCGGACAUACUGUCUUUACUCUGUCUGGUUGUAGUCCUGACCGACUGUCUUGUCUCUCUGUCUGCUUGUCUGUCUAUCUGUCUGGUUGCAGUCCGGACAGACUGUCUUGUCUCUGUCUGUCUGUCUGGUUAGUCUGACAGACUGCUUGCUCUGUCUAUCUGUCUGGUUGCAGUCCUGACAGACGGUCUUGUCUCUGUCUGUCGGUCUGGUUGUAGUCCUGACAGACUUUUCGUGUCUCUGUCUGUCUAUCUGUCUGGUUGUAGUCCGACAGACUGUCUUGUCUCUGUCUAUCGUCGGUUGUAGUCCUGACAGACUAUCUGUCUAUGUGUCUGUCUGUCUGUUUGUAGUCCUGACCGACUGUCUUGUCUCUGUCUGUCUGUUGGUUGUAGUCCUGAAUGACUGUCUUGUCUCUGUCUGUCUGUGUCUGGCUGUCUGUCCUGUCUGUCUGGUUUGUAGUCCUACGACGGUGCUUGUCCUCUGUCUGUCGUCGGGUUGUAGUCCUGACAGACUGUUGUCUCUGUCUGUCUGUCUGGUUUGUAGUCCUGACCGACUGUCUUGUCUCUGUCUGUCUGUCUGGUUGGUGCCUGACCGACUGUUCUGUCGUGCUGUCUGUCUGUCUGGUUUGUAGUCCACCGACUGUCUUGUCUCUCUGUCUGUGUCUGUCUUUUGGUUGCGUCCUGACAGACUGCUUGUCUCUGUCUGUCUGUCGGAUUGUAGUCCUGACCGACGGUCUUGUCUUGUGUCUGUCUGUCUGGUUGUAG
rnacentral:lncRNA from 1 species